GAUGAAGAACGUAGUGAAAUGCGAUACUUGGUGUGAAUUGCAGAAUCCCGUGAACCAUCGAGUCUUUGAACGCAAGUUGCGCCCGAAGCCAAUAGGCCGAGGGCACGCCUGCCUGGGCGUCACACGUCGUUGCCCCCCCAUCUACUCCUUCGGGAUUGCGGGGGGCGGAUGAUGGCCUCCCGUGCGCCUCGUCGCGCGGUUGGCAUAAAUGCCAAGUCCUCGGCGACACACGCCACGACAAUCGGUGGUUGCGAAACCUCGGUUGCCCGUCGUGUGCGGUCGUCGCGCAUCGAGGGCUCGAAAAAAUUGCCGGGCUCCGGCUCGGCUUUCAACGCGACCCCAGGUCAGGCGGGGUUACCCGCUGAAUUUAAGCAUAUCAAUAAGCGGAGGA
rnacentral:misc_RNA from 1 species